GAGUUUGAUCCUGGCUCAGGAUGAACGCUGGCGGCGUGCUUAACACAUGCAAGUCGAACGAAGCGCCUUAUUUGAUUUUCUUCGGAACUGAAGAUUUGGUGACUGAGUGGCGGACGGGUGAGUAACGCGUGGGUAACCUGCCCUGUACAGGGGGAUAACAAUCAGAAAUGACUGCUAAUACCGCAUAAGACCACAGCACCGCAUGGUGCAGGGGUAAAAACUCCGGUGGUACAGGAUGGACCCGCGUCUGAUUAGCUGGUUGGUGAGGUAACGGCUCACCAAGGCGACGAUCAGUAGCCGGCUUGAGAGAGUGAACGGCCACAUUGGGACUGAGACACGGCCCAAACUCCUACGGGAGGCAGCAGUGGGGAAUAUUGCACAAUGGGGGAAACCCUGAUGCAGCAACGCCGCGUGAGUGAAGAAGUAUUUCGGUAUGUAAAGCUCUAUCAGCAGGGAAGAAAGUGACGGUACCUGACUAAGAAGCCCCGGCUAACUACGUGCCAGCAGCCGCCGUAAUACC
rnacentral:rRNA from 1 species